UACGUAGGGACCGAGCGUUGUCCGGAAUCAUUGGGCGUAAAGAGCGUGUAGGCGGCUCGAUAAGUCUGCUGUGAAAGUCCAGGGCUCAACCCUGGAAGGCCGGUGGAAACUGUCGGGCUAGAGUCCGGAAGAGGCGAGUGGAAUUCCCGGUGUAGCGGUGAAAUGCGCAGAUAUCAGGAGGAACACCGGUGGCGAAGGCGGGUCUCUGGGCCGAUACUGACGCUGAGGAGCGAAAGCGUGGGGAGCGAACAGG
rnacentral:rRNA from 1 species